rnacentral:rRNA from 1 species
GAUGAACGCUGGCGGCGUGCUUAACACAUGCAAGUCGAACGAUGAUCCCAGCUUGCUGGGGGGAUUAGUGGCGAACGGGUGAGUAACACGUGAGUAACCUGCCCUUAACUCUGGGAUAAGCCUGGGAAACUGGGUCUAAUACCGGAUAUGACUCCUCAUCGCAUGGUGGGGGGUGGAAAGCUUUAUUGUGGUUUUGGAUG